CAACAGAUAGUUUCCAUCUCUCCAUUCCAUUUUCUGACGGCGUACGUUAAAGGUUAGGAAGUCAUGUCGUCCGUCUCCAAACAUACGUUUAAAAAAAAAAAGGGUCGUGUCGUAAUAUCAGAAUUUACGGACGUGAACUGAAAACGUAGAUAAAAACCCACGUGAAAAGUAGCUCAGCUACCAGAUCUGCCACACCUAACCAACUGAAACAUUAAAUAUCAUGCUAUGCAGAUGGUUAAGUAGGUUUUCCUUGUUUUAAUUCACAUCAUAAUAGAUUAAUUAUCAAUUAAAAUAGAACGUCAAGUUUCUUGUCUUAUCAUAGGCAAACCUUAAAAUGUGAUGAACCUCAAACAGUUAAUCAUGAUUUCCUUUCAGUACCAUUAGUUGUAGGGCUCUUGCCACUUGCACAUGUACCACAUAUUAUUGAAUAAGUACCAGCAGCUUCAAACUAAGUAGUGCAAUGGUGAUUCUGGUAAAAUUUUCUCACCUUGUCAUACAAAGAUAUUCAUGAAAAAAUUUACCAUUACCAGUUUCACUGUGGAUGUUCAAAUGUGUUCCAGUAAAUUUCUUUGCAUUACUGGAACUCAAUCUAACUAAAAUAAGACCAUUGUUUGGCAGAAUUGUAUUUAAUUACGUAGAGUCUUUAAUAAGGAAACAUAUGUAGUAUUGAUAGAAUAUUUUGCUGCUAAACUAACUAGUAGCUGUAGGACUUCUGCUGCAUACUGCAUAUGCUUACAUUGAACACCUGAGGUUCUUUUUUAUUACCAUUUUCCUGCAUUUACAUAAAUGUCUAGGUUAAAUGGUAAUUAUAUUUCCUUUUUAUCAAUAUCCAACUUGAAGAAACUUACAACAAGUUGACAAAGUUGAUAAAGGAAGUAUAGAUACUUAGAUAGAUAUCAUUUUUCUUUUUCAAUUUUUUGGAAUCUUCAGCAAUACAGUGUGAUUAUUGCAAGAAUUAAAUAGGAGAUUAAAUAAUUACAUAAUCAAGGCGAUAGAUUUCGCGUUUGUUUUUAUGCCAAACUGUUGAUUUGAAAGGGUGGCGUGAUUUUCCACUCUGUAGAAAGUCGUUGUCUUUCGUUGGGUUUUCAUGGAUUGUUAAAGAUUGUGUUUGUCAGAGUCUGGCGUUGGCGUUCAUUGUUUAUGGAGAAGACAUGUUUCUCACGGCAAUCUUACAGUUUUCAAAAUUUUCAAUUGUGUUUUGCCUUAUUAACACUUCUUGACCAAUUAAAGCAUUAGGUGUUGCAUCACUUCAUUUCCAGUCUUCAUGGCGUUCCUGGCAGUUGUAGUGACUUUAUGUAAUUCUUCUUGCUGAUAAAAAAUUCAUGAGGCACAUAUCAACAGUGCAAAAUAAAUGGUAUCUGAUGAGA